rnacentral:misc_RNA from 1 species
CACCGUCCACGAGCCUGUCGUAUGCGCCGGUCUGCAUUUUUAUGGAUCACUAAUCGGUAAAGGGCGCGAGCGACUCAGGUGGUAGGAGUCCUUGCGCUCACCAGGCGUUGCAGGUUAGUCGGGUUCGUCAGGGUUACUGUAGAUCUCUACAAGCACGAGUACUUGUAGUACAGUACGGAGUGAUACUCAUUCUCGAAGAAUAAAACAGAUAUCGGGCAGAACAAGAGAACCAAACCUCUCAGAAGACAAUGAGUAGUGCUAGACAGACUAACAGAGAACUUUCGAUAGACCAUGUACAUACUGUAGUCAAGAGUAUUCCACUACAAUACCUCUACAAGCAUAAUCCCUACGAGUGCCAUACUCCUGUCCUACUCCUAUCCUCCCCCACACCUACCCACAUCCACACUACCCACAUCCACACUACCCACAUCCACACUACCCACAUCCACACCUACCCACAGCCACACCUUCUCACAGCCACACCUACCAUCCACUCCACAUCAUGGCCAGGUCAAGAAUGCUUCUGAAACGCACCAUCCAACGCUUCCUUUCUUCGGAAAUUCUCUCAGCCUCUUUUGGCUCCUCUUUCUCGUGCACCUCACGUGUACAACCGAAAUAGAAGGCCGAGACGAGCGGUGCUCGCAAUCACAAUCGCAAUCGCAAUCGCAGUUCUUCUAUCUGUCUCGCACCUGCUCUGUGCUCACCUCCAUUGUACCAUGGUCCAAAAGAAGCAGCCAUCUGACCCAAACGUACAACUCCUUUGUCCACAGAAACCAAGAGCCCUCAAGGAACUCAGCUGGCAACCCGAAUGAACUCUCACUCGCCUCUUCCGGAUCUAUUCUGGUGCUGUUCCGGGCCGCGCAUCGACAAACAGCCCGAACCGCGGCAUACGAUAGAGUUGAAGACAUUGUCGGAUGAUGGAAUUUAUCCGGAGUUAAAAGAAUCGUCUGGAAUUGCCGUCGAGUUCCAAGCCUCACACAAAAAUACAAGAGAAACUGUACCUACAAUUCAUGUGGCAAAUCUCUACAAACUGCCCCAAAACCUCCAUGCUUUUUUCCCAUCAAAUUCACUUGACAGCCUUGUUGGGAGUUUGUGGGUUACUUGGCAGCGCAGUUAAUAAAGUUUCAUUUUUAGGUGGCGAUUAGAAAAAGAAAUUAAAGAGCCGAAAUCAAAAAAAUAAAUAAAGAAAAUAAAUAAAUAAAACAUAAAUGAACCUUUU